UGAGGAUCUAAAUCUUCUAAACAGGUUACAGUUACAUAUUUGUUUGUGUGACAAUAAGUAGAAUCUGCUUUCUGCUUUUUCCAGAGCCUUUGGUGCCUCAGCAUUACCUCUGACAACUUGGUGGAUCCUGUUUAUCACUAAUCAUCAAACAGAGAUACAACAGCAGCAAUAUGUCUUGCUCCAGGAGAUGUAACUUGGUCCGAAGAAAAACAAGUACUAAAAUCUGACAAUGCUCUGCAGAAGACAGUGUCUUUUCUCUGCCCAUUUCUUAUACUGCUUGAGAGGGUGAUUUCACCAGAGAAUUAUUCAGAGGGCAAUACUCAGUGCAGACAGUUGUCAUAA
rnacentral:lncRNA from 1 species